ACUCCCAAAUCCUGGAAUUUCAAGAUGGGGAAUGACCCAAAAUCCCCCCAAAAAAAACCUGGAAAGGGGGGAAAUAAUCCUCAAACUGGGGUUAAAAAUAAAAAUAAAAACUUUAAAAAUAAAAAUGAAAAUUUUCUUUGGGAAUAAAAGGGGAAAAAAAACAAACUGGGAUUAAAAAUAAAAAUAAAAACUUUAAAAAUAAAAAUGAAAAUUUUCUUUGGGAAUAAAAGGGGAAAAAAAACAAACUGGGAUAAAUAAAAAUAAAAACUUUCUUCGGGAAUAAAAGGGGAAUAAAAAAAAACCAAAUUUGGGGUUAAAAAUCAAAACUUUAUUUGGGAUUAAAAGGGAAGGAAAAAAAGACGAAAACCAGGAUUAAAAAUAAAAAUAGAAACUUUAUUUGGGUAUAAAAACCCCAAAUUUUGGGGAUUUUGGGGUCGGAGUUCGUCGAGGGCGUCGCUGUUGUUCCGGGAUUGGGAAUUCCGGGAUUUCUGUGGGAAUUCUUCCCCAAAAAUCCCAAAUUUUGGGGAUAUUUUUGGGGGGCUCUUGGUGUUGUGACGGGGUUGGGAAUUCUGGGAUUCCUGUGGGAAUUUUUCUCCAAAAAAUCCCAAAUUUCAAGGCACUCGAGGGAUGGGAAUUCUGGAAUUCCUGAGGGAAUUUUUACCCCAAAAAACCCAAAUUUUUGGGGAGGGCUCCAGGGAUGGAAAUUUUGGGAUUCCCACAGGAAUUCUCCCCCAAAAAUCCCAAAUUUCGAGGGGUUCCAGGGAUGUGGGAUGGAUCCAAAAAAUUCCAGGGAUUCUGGGAUUUGGGGAGGAUCCCGAAAAUUCCAGGGAAUUCCAGGGAUUGGGGAUGGAUCCAAAAAAUUCCAGGGAAUUCCAGGGAUUCUGGGAUUUGGGAGGGACCCCGGGAGUGCCAAUCCCACCCUUGGGAGUUCCCUGGACCCUCUGGAUUGUUCCAGACCCCCAAAAUUCCAUCCCAGACCCCCCAAAAUCCCAAAUUUCCCCCAAAUUCCCCGAAUUUCCUGUUCCUCACCUCCUGCCACACCCGGUGGUGGCUCAGGAAGCAGAAACUCCUUUGGAACUCCCUGAAUUCCCCUGCACUCCCAGAGCUCCUGGAUUGCUCCAGACCCCCCAAAAUCCCAAAUUUUCCCCCCAAAUUCCAGAAUUUCCCGUUCCUCACCUCCUGCCACACGCGGUGGUGGCUCAGGAAGCAGCGGCUCCUUUGGAACUCCCUGAAUCCCAGAGCCCCUGGAUCGUUCCAGACACCCCAAAUUCCAUCCCAGACCCCCCAAAUUCCAUCCCAGACCCCCCAAAAUCCCCAAUUUUCCCCCAAAAUUCCGGAAUUUCCCG
rnacentral:lncRNA from 1 species